ACAGGUGUGGGCAGCUCAAUCAGGACCCAGCUGGUCCUGAUAAGAGGGCUGGGGGGCCAGGAGCUGCAGAUGUUCUUCUCUAGUCCUGAAGUGGGAAGGACUAGCCACUUGAGAGCAAGGUACUUGGAAUGGAGUAGUGCUAUGGAAAGGCAAAGGGAGCUGGGGUGCUCCAGCCUGGUAAACCCCUAGGCUACAGGCCUUGGUGAAGGCCUACAAAAGGCAUCACUCAUUGCGGUAAGAGAAUUGUACUUCCAUGAAGAAUCCAUGUUGGGACAUUUCCACCAGUGUCCCAGACUAAUAGUGCAGAUAUGCACCCUCUAGCAAAAGCUUCCAUUAAAGCAAUGGGGCAUCAUUAAGGAGGCUAGCAGCUACUGCAAAGCUAUUUUAAAGAUCCUGUUUACAGAUAGGUGAUGGAAUGCUCUUUCCCCAAGAAGCAGACACUUGAUUCACAGAAGACCAGUCUUGUCAGACCAAAAAACACAACCCUGAGAAAAUAUUCUUCUAAUGUAGCAUCCAAGCAAAUAAGGACGGAUCUGCAGCCAGUGCUAAGCAGCACCAUUCCAUCGACGUACAUCGAUUUACACCAGCUGGCGAUCUGGACCACAGAUUUUUACACCAGAGUUCAUGUAAUUACACACCAUCAGCAAAGCACAGCAUUCAUAACUCAGAUCGCUAAAACAAUGUGAAAAUAUUGAAGUUUAAUGAAAGAGAAAAUCAAGAUGAGAACAUGUCUACAAGCUAUGAAGUUUCCAGCUUCAAAGGCAUAAGACCUUGUUUGAGAAGGAUUCUGUUAAUGCUGCUCACAGUAUGAGUAUACUACAAGAAACUAAAUAUUGCAUGU